rnacentral:rRNA from 1 species
GCCAGACUCCUACGGGAGGCAGCAGUGGGGGAUAUUGCACAAUGGGGGGAACCCUGAUGCAGCGACGCCGCGUGGGUGAAGGAGCGUUUCGGCGCGUAAAGCCCUCUCGGCAGGGAAGAAGGAGGACGGUACCUGACUAAGAAGCCCCGGCUAACUACGUGCCAGCAGCCGCGGUAAUACGUAGGGGGCAAGCGUUAUCCGGAUUUACUGGGUGUAAAGGGGGCGCAGACGGCAGCGCAAGCCAGGAGUGAAAGCCCGGGGCCCAACCCCGGGACUGCUCUGGAAACUGUGCAGCUAGAGUGCAGGAGAGGCAGGCGGAAUUCCUAGUGUAGCGGUGAAAUGCGUAGAUAUUAGGAGGAACACCGGUGGCGAAGGCGGCCUGCUGGACUGUGACUGACGUUGAGGCUCGAAAGCGUGGGGAGCAAACAGGAUUAGAUACCCGAGUA